UAAGGAAUUGUUCACAAUGGACGAAAGUCUGAUGACGCAACGCCGCGUGGAGGAAGACGGCCUUCGGGUUGUAAACUUCUUUUCCCAGGGAUGAUUAUGACAGUACCUGGGGAAUAAGGGCCUGCUAACUACGUGCCAGCAGCCGCGGUAAUACGUAGGGCCCGAGCGUUAUCCGGUAUUAUUGGGCGUAAAGAGCGUGUAGGCGGUUUAGUAAGACAAUGGUUAAAUACCCGAGCCCAACUCGGGGCAUGCCACUGUGACUGCUAGACUAGACGAUAGCAGGGGCAAGCAGAAUUCUCGGUGUAGGGGUGAAAUCCGUUGAGAUCGAGAGGAAUACCAAUGGCGAAGGCAGCUUGCUAGGUUAUAUGUGACGCUGAGACGCGAAAGCGUGGGGAGCGAACGGG
rnacentral:rRNA from 1 species